rnacentral:lncRNA from 1 species
GAACUAUUAAGAUUAAUUUUGAUGCUGCAGUGACCCAAUCUAAAGUUUCAGUGGGUGUUGUAUUUUGAUGCUGUGGUGACCCAAUCUAAGGCUUCAAUGGGUGUUGUAAUAAGAGACUUUUCUAGCAACUUUUUACGUGUGGAAGAAAAAUUAUUGCACAAACUCACUGUCCCUUAUACUGAACUUGCUGUUACUUGGUUAGAGCUAUAUGUUGCUCUUGUGGAGUUUUCCGAGUGUCUGAUAUAGUUAGAAAG